CCUACGGGUGGCAGCAGUGGGGAAUAUUGGACAAUGGGGGGAACCCUGAUCCAGCGACGCCGCGUGAGUGAAGAAGUAUUUCGGUAUGUAAAGCUCUAUCAGCAGGGAAGAAAGAAAUGACGGUACCUGACUAAGAAGCCCCGGCUAACUACGUGCCAGCAGCCGCGGUAAUACGUAGGGGGCAAGCGUUAUCCGGAUUUACUGGGUGUAAAGGGAGCGUAGACGGCGAUGCAAGUCUGAAGUGAAAGGCGGGGGCUCAACCCCCGGACUGCUUUGGAAACUGUAUGGCUGGAGUGCAGGAGAGGUAAGUGGAAUUCCUAGUGUAGCGGUGAAAUGCGUAGAUAUUAGGAGGAACACCAGUGGCGAAGGCGGCUUACUGGACUGUAACUGACGUUGAGGCUCGAAAGCGUGGGGAGCAAACAGGAUUAGAUACCCGUGUAGUC
rnacentral:rRNA from 1 species